UAGAUACUUUCUUCAGUGACUAUCCAUCCAUGAACAUCUCAUUAUUUUGGAAAGACAGUGGCCACAACAUCACCAAGACAUCAAAGGUCUUUUGUCCUUCAGUUCCUGUCCUUCACAAACUGCUCCAGACUGAUUCCUUCUCAAAGGCUGCACUUCUUCAAGAACUUUCCCAACGUAGGUCCUUUCCAUGGGUACAGAUCUUCAGGGAUGGACUGCUCCAGUGUGGGUUCCCCAUGGGGUCAAAGAUCCUGCAAGAAAACCUGCUCCACUGUGGGCUCCUCUGCAAGGACUGCAGCUUCCUUCAGGACACAUCCACCUCCUCCAUGGGGUGCAUCAUGUUAGAAUAAGGUGCGAAUUUCUCCCAUGGCUGGAUUUUGAAAAUAUCUAGGACUGAAAGUAGAUCUGCCCACGUUGCUUGAUAUCGCAAGAAAAAGCCUCCUCCUUAAGAACUUCUACUCAUUUGACAAACUGUGGUUCCUGCUUUUUGGUUGGAAGAAGGUGGUAUUGUUUCCACUGAGUAAGUUUCCCAGUGAUACAGCUCAACAUAUAGGAUAUGUGGCCAGCUAAGCAUGGAAAGGCAUGGAAUCUUUUGUCAAAAUAUUAGCGAACACGCAUCACUGUUUCAAAGUUUCUCCUGCCAAGACAUGUAUGUUACCAGAUACCGAAUACAGAAUUGUAAUUUACAGUGAGGAUUUUUUUGCAGGUAACGUAAGGAUGCACUAUUUUGUCAACAUUUCAAGCAGCUUAAUUGAAACACUUUCUGCCACAUUUUUUUAUUGGCAUGCCAGUGUAAUAACUUUUUUUAUUAUAUGAACUCUGACAUGCUGAAGCAACAGCAUGGAUACUAGAUUCUUCUUUGCUUAUUCUUAUGGGUCUCAGAGAGUUUGAGAAGACGUCCUUUGAUAGGACUUCUGAAGGGAGAUAAAAAUACAUACAUUUUACAGAUGAGUAAGCUUUAAAAGGUGAAGUGGCAUCCCCUGGAUGGCAGAGAAGUUGAUGUACGAAUACGGUAAAAGAACCAGUGACUCAGUCUACGCUGUCUUGUGUGACCUGCAAUAGCAUGCUGCCUCCAUUAAGGGAAAGAAAAACAGACUGAAGAAGUGCAGCUGACUAAAGCUGCAUCAUCAUCAUUUUGAAACUGACUAAUGCCCUGGCAAAGCACAGAUCAUACUGCAUCUCUAUUAAGUUUUCAAAGCAAAGAUUGCGAUCUUUAUUUACACCUAGCUUAAACUUCUGAAACUCUGAUGUAUUCUUAGCAGUUCCUGCUUGAGUGUAAGCAAAAUCAAAUCAAGUGUGGAGAGUGCAGCUGUGCUGAUAUCUUUUAGGUAAUUAGGAACUCGAUUAAGAAGCAGUAAGGUGUGUCAUGGUGUGGGUACCCCACAGACUAUCCUUAAAAAAAAAAGUUAAAUCAUGUCUGCUGCGAAGCAGUGGUCUUCUCAGGCCUAGAAGCUGGGCUAAGAGCUAGGACUAAGGUUUCUGAGAGUAAUUGUAAUUAUUAGUCUAUUACUUUACUACCACAGAAAUACACAUGGAUCUACUUGCUGUGCUGUGCACCGCCCACCAUCCAUGAAAAACUGCAAUACUGUCCUAGAGCACUUCAAGGAAGAUGCAAAUACAAGCUGACUUGAUUUGCAUAGCUCUGAAAAGUGGCUUUAAACAUAUGGGCCAGAUUCUUAGCUCUCAACAGAGGUAUUUGGACUUACGUCAGGCAAAGACCUGGUCCUGAAGGCAUGUGCAUGUGCAUACAUAGGCCAGUUACUAGAAUAUAUGCAUACAUAUAACUUGCAGCAAAUUUCUAAUUGCAUCUGUAAUUCCAAAUGACUAAUUUUACACUCAAAUUGCAAUCUGAGAAUCUUCCUGUUUCCACUUAGCUAUCCAAGUCACCCAUGCAGGCAAUAAGAUACAGUAUCAUGUAAUUUAUCUAACUAAAUGACACAUCUUAAUUUCUGAAUAUUUGCAGUGAACUAUUGAUGAAUGGGCUCUAGAACAAAAAAUUAUUCAUGGAACACAUUGGCAAAUACCUUUGCCUGCUUUUGAGAACAUAUCUCCUUGUAGACAACACUUAAAUAGAAAAGAAGAAGUAUUAGGGAAUUAGUUAAAAGUUUUUGGUUAUUCACCCUAGUCUACCUAAUGCAUGCUUGCAGAAGAUUUUAAACAUGCCUACUACAGGUCGAAAGUGCCUUAGAAUCACGUUUUACGAUAGCUUUAAACUUCUGAAGAGCAUCCAGGUAAGGAGCCUAUUUUCAAAAACACCUGCAUUCCUACUUUCUAUAAAAAUUGGGUGCUUAUGUGUGUUUGAAGAGGUCUUGUGAUUGUUAUAUGCAGUUUUUAUCAGUCAGUGAAUGUAUUAUGAGGUGCUUUCACUAUACUAACCACUCUCGCACUCAACAUUGAAUAAUAGCACCUUGAGUUGGCUUAGGCUAGAGAGAGGUAGCAGUGCACAUGCAGAUUAUUAUGCUGGUAAAUAUUGAUUUGUAUAUUUGCAACAACCUGAUUAUGUUUUUGAGAUUGUGUUUACACUUCUGAAACAAUGUCUUGGGCACUUCUGGAAACUUCACAUCGUAGCUAGGAUUUUCAAAAUAUCUCAAUGUUCACAAAUAUUUUUCUCAUCAUGUUAAAUACUGAACUCUUUUGAAAACAUCACCACAGAUACCACAGGGACAGUGUCAAGCACUGAAUGCUUUCAGAAAAUUCAACUUUCAUUCUGAUGUCUGACUUUUCUGGCAAUGCUGUCCUUACUGGGGAAGCUGAUACCCUGCAAAUGUGAUCAAGUUGAGAUGUAUAUCUUAAAAUCAAUGGGAGACAUUAUGAUAAUUUUGCGUCUGGCUAACAAAAAUGUAACGUCAUGAGGUCGUACUCUUCAUGAUAUUAUUAACUGUGUGUAUACGGUGAUACUAGUCUAAAAUUGAUGCAUAUCAGUCUUACCAUUUUCUUUUUCUUUAAUUAUUUGUGGAAUUGAACCAAAGAGCAUCUUCGGUUUAAUCUAAGGGCCUAUUGUUGUUGAGUUAUUCAUUAACAGUUUUUACAAGGAUCUCAACAGGAUAACUCAUAUAGUAAGUCACUCCCAGCUGUUGUAGCACAAGAUGUUGGAAGAAUCGUACCUAGGGGUAUUAUAUGGUUAAUUGUGGCCUGUAUCUCAUGUAAUACCCACCUUCUGCAAACUACAGAUUGCAUGAAAUUUACAUAGAUUUAAAAUAAUCCCAAGCAAAUUGACAAUUAAUUUCAUAGGACUUGAAGAUAUGACAGCUCCUGUCUAAUUAAAGAGUACAGGCAUCUGCGUGUGGCACUAUACUGCCAUAUCACAUUUUCAUUGAAGUUCAACGAUACGGUGUUGGACUUGUUUUCCACACCAUCUUCUUUCUGUUUUUGAAUCUUUUUGGACAGCUUUUCAGUAAAUUUUUAGUGUCAGCAGAUUUCCAGCACAUGAGGGAGGGAAGAAGAAAGGCUUGGGCCUGAUGAGGAAGGUUCCAAUGCAGAUAUCUAAACACCAAUCUGAAUUUUCAGCCAGCUUAA